GCGCCGCCGGGGACGCGCGCUAAUUGGGGGGGGAGGGGGAUAUACGCCGGUCUUAAAGAGACAGGCGCGGCAUGCCACUCCUCCCCACCCUCCGCCGCGGGCCGCCGCUUGCGGGCUCGCGUUACCCGGCCCGUCGUGGGGCUGGCGGGAGGGAGCGGGGGAACUGCCCCUGCGUGGCCCGCCGCGGGGACGGGCGGUGCCCAGGAGCCCCCGCCUCGCCUCGGCGGGCUGCGCGGGGCCGGGAGCGGGACCGGGAGCGGGAGCGGGGCCGCCCUCGGCAGCGGCGGGGUUUGAACUGUUUGCACCAGAAGGGCGCCGGGCCGGGGCCGGGGCCGGGGCCGUUUGGCGCCUCCUGCGCCCCGCGGCCCCCCCGCCGCGGGCAGCCGCGUGGGCAGGCGGAGGGGUGCCGCGGUACGGUCGCCGAACGCGGCGUGAUUCACGACUUCUUUUGUUUUUGGUUUUUUUUUUUUGUUUUGUUUUUCCCCGCUGGCUUUACUUAGGGGACUCGGUCUUUACUCUGGGAAGCGGUUGCCGUCAGAAGAUCUCUAGCUAAGACCUGCAGCUGCUGAGCACCGCGAGGCAGUGACAGGACAUGCCACCCAGGUUUCGUCACUGAUUUUGCCUUGCUUACAUGACUUCCACGGACUGGUCCGGUAAUCAGGAGCUCAGGACUCUGAAGCAGAGUAGCAGUGGUGCUGAUGAAGAUGAUAAUGGUGUCCAAAUGCCACCACUGCUUAGGGCUCAGAGCUGCAGGAGGCACGAGAUGGAAAUUCCUCCUCUUUCUGAAGGAAAGCGAGUGCUAUAGCCACAAGCAUCUGGAGCAGUUUGUGGCAACUGAUUCUGAAUCCUUUGGAAGCAUUUUCUUGCCUAAAAUGGCAAGUGGUCCACUGGGAGGUGGACCAAAAUGUGCCCCCACCUUCUGUUUUUAUACCACCGAAAAUGUCUACACGAUAAGGUAUUGCAAUACUCAGCCUUCAGCCUGCUUGCAUAUUUUGUUUUUCCGCUGGAAUUUUCAUAUUUACCAAGUUCAUAAUCGGUGUUCCAGUGGGAUUUAGGCCUCUAAAUAUUAUUUAAAGAUUUGGAGAUAAAACACCUGCCUAAUUACAAAAACACAGCUUCUUAUGUGUCUAAAUCUUCCAGCACCAAAAAUGCUUUUAAAAGAUUGGUCACGAGCACUCUUCGUGAGGCAGCGCAGCCCUUCCAACUCCUCUGAAAUAGAGGACGUUCACUCUGUGCCAGGAUCAAGUCUUGACAUUCAGAAUUAUGGCUGCCAAAUCUGCAAAUGCUUAAAUGCCUGUCACCCAAGUGCUUGAAAGCUGUGCAAGAACAGAAGAGAACAGCUCACUCUGGAGAGCCGCAAGCAUCUCUGGAAACGUGAUGGGCGAGCUCAGUGGAUUUUACCAUCGAAUCUGCAACCUGGAGAAGGACGAGACCAGUUAUAAAAUAAACGCUAUUUCUGAAGAAAUUGAUUCCUGAGAAUAACAGCAGGAUUCUUUGUUCCUUGUCUCCCAGCAUGAAUUUGGCACGAGGUGCAGAGCUCCAAACAGAAAGGUAUUCAACACCUUAGAAGACAAACGCUUACAGUUUUUUGGUCAAAGCAGUCCCUCUUCUUUUGGAGGGCAAUUUACCAGCAACGUUCAUCGAAGCUUCAGCACUGUUCACUCUCACUUGCCCCAUUAGUCUUCAGUGAAUUUGUGUCUCUAGAAGUAGGGCAGAGUUUGGUUUGGUAAGCUUUAGCGAGAUGUAUAUAUCCAUAUACUUUUGAUGUAACUAAUCACUGUAUUUUUGCACAAGUUUGCAGCAUUCUGGCAAAAUCCAUGAAACCCAGAAGUUUAAGACAAAGUGCACUAUAACUUGCCACUUUUAAAUGAUGUGAAUUAAGAUCAGAAUGUCAAUGUCAUUCUAUUUUCCUAUCUUUUGUCACUUCUGCCACAGUCUUGAUGAGUCUUUAAAUAUAGGCUGUUUUGUAUUUAAA